rnacentral:rRNA from 1 species
GUGGGCCUACGGGGGGCAGCAGUGAGGAAUAUUGGUCAAUGGUCGGGAGACUGAACCAGCCACGCCGCGUGAGGGAGGAAGGUACAGAGUAUCGUAACCCUCUUUUGUCAGGGAACAAAGGCGGGGACGUGUCCCCGGAUGAGUGUACCUGAAGAAAAAGCAUCGGCUAACUCCGUGCCCGCAGCCGCGGUAAUACGGAGGAUGCGAGCGUUAUCCGGAUUUAUUGGGUUUAUAGGGUGCGCAGGCGGUCUGUUAAGUCAGCGGUCAAAGCCCGGGGCU